GAUGAACGCUAGCUACAGGCUUAACACAUGCAAGUCGAACGGUAACAGGUCUUCGGACGCUGACGAGUGGCGAACGGGUGAGUAAUACAUCGGAACGUGCCCAGUCGUGGGGGAUAACUACUCGAAAGAGUAGCUAAUACCGCAUACGAUCUGAGGAUGAAAGCGGGGGACCUUCGGGCCUCGCGCGAUUGGAGCGGCCGAUGGCAGAUUAGGUAGUUGGUGGGAUAAAAGCUUACCAAGCCGACGAUCUGUAGCUGGUCUGAGAGGACGACCAGCCACACUGGGACUGAGACACGGCCCAG
rnacentral:rRNA from 1 species